CAGUGAGGAAAGCUCUGCUGAAGGGUGAUACAGAGUGCAGGGAGGCUGCAGGAGGGAGAGGAGGGUGGGGACAGCUCUGCCAGCAGAACCUGCGCUCCACACACAUCUCUCACUGUGGCAAACAGACAGCCAGACAGAUGUUUGCCAAAUGUGCCCUUCUUGGCAACAAACCCACAAACUGUGGGGGAUUUUGAUGCUUUUACAGCUGGGGUUUGGUCCAGAUUAGAACAAAAUCUUGAAAAUGCACCCAACUUGGAAACGCCAAGGAAUUCCUCUGCAGAAACGUUUUGCUGGGAAAUGGUAAAUGGUUUGGUAGAGUCAAAAUGAAGUAUUAUAAUUCCACGUUCUAUGUACAAGUCAAAAUGAAUAAUUUACCUCCUUUAACUAUUUUUAAACACCUGAAACAUCUGAAAAGGCUUUUUUUUGUUUGUUUUUUGACACGUCUGUCAAAUCUCAUCAGACACAGCGUGUUUGUGAAUGGGGAGAUGUUCCCAGCAGCUGCAGCUGCCUGUGGCAGCAGGAGAGCCCUGACCAGGAUGGCUGUGGGGGACAGAACUGGGAAAAGAAAGGCCAUCUGUCUGUCCAUCCAUCCAUGGAUCCAUGGAUCCAUUCAUCCAUCAUCCAUCAUCCAUCCAUCAUCCAUCCAUCAUCCAUCAUCCAUCCAUCCAUCCAUCAUCCAUCAUCCAUCAUCCAUCCAUCAUCCAUCAUCCAUCCAUCCAUCAUCCAUCCAUCCAUCCAUCAAUCACCCACCCUUGCACCCAGCCCAUGCAGGGCUCUGCUUUGGCCAAGCAGCAUUUCCCCACCCCAUCACCAAGUGACAUAAUUGAGAGGGUGGUUUUAUUUAUUUUCCCUAUUCAGGGAACAGUUCUGGUACCUUCUGCUUGUGUUAGUUUUUGGGGAAGGGGGCUGAAAUGAAGCCCGGAGGGGACUGAGGGGGUUUGCAGCAGGAGAACACAGCUGAUUCACUCUCUGGUAUAAGCAGGAGUUGGUCUGACAUGGCACUGUUUAUUUUGAGCAGGUUCUAGGAACAGUUUGCAGCUCUUUCCCCAUCUCUUGAUGUGCCCACACAGUAAAUUAUCUGCAAUCAUUAGCAAGUGGGCUGCUUCCUCCUUCAGACACAAUUAGUGGGCAGGGGCCGGAAAAACCUUCCUCAAUCUCAUUUCCUUCUCAGGAUGCUCUUGAGAGCCCGGCGCUGCCUCGGAGGAGGCAGGGCACAGCCGCUGCCCAGAGUGACCCUCCCUGCUCCUCGGGGUGGGAGCAUCCUCCGUCCGUCCGUCCCCCGAUGGUCCCCGGGGGCUGCCCGGGCGGGGAAGGUGGAACCUUGGAACCUCAGCCUCCGGGUCAGGGAGGCUGAAGCAGAGGCAGGAACCGGCAGAGGCUCAGGACAAGCUGAUUUCCAGUUCCCUUUGCCUGUGAGGUCCAUCCUGGGGCGGUGCACAGGCACGGGUGACUCAGGGGCUGGGGAAUGGUGUGAGCAGUGAGCAGCAGCUCCUGUCCAGGGCACCUGGCUCAGGGUUCCUGGAGCACCAGCAGCUGCCGGGCACUGGUGCCAAAGCCUUGGUGGCUCUGCCACAGCUGCCCCCGGUCCCGAGCACUGCUGGCCGUGCCAUCGCCUCCUCCUGCCCCACACCGCCAGCUGGGAACCGGCCCUGGGGGAGCAGCAGCGCUCGAGGGGGAGCUUUGGAUUUACACUCGGGAAACCUGGAAUAAAUCAAAGCAAUUAAAGUGCA
rnacentral:lncRNA from 1 species